rnacentral:rRNA from 1 species
UACAGAGGGGGCAAGCGUUGUUCGGAAUUACUGGGCGUAAAGCGCACGUAGGUGGCUUGGCAAGUCGGGUGUGAAAUCCCCGGGCUCAACCUGGGAAUGGCGAUGAAGACUGCAAGGCUAGAAUCUGGCAGAGGGGGGUAGAAUUCCACGUGUAGCAGUGAAAUGCGUAGAGAUGUGGAGGAACACCGAUGGCGAAGGCAGCCCCCUGGGUCAAGAUUGACGCUCAUGCACGAAAGCGUGGGGAGCAAACAGG